CUAAUAGGGCCUCAGUAAAGCCUCAGGAAUCUGCUUCUGGAGUUAUUUCCUGUUGAUGUCGUUGCAGAUAUUCUCAAAGGCCUUUUGCUGACUGCUCUAGGCCCGGACCCUACAUCCAAAGGAGAGGAUGACUGAUCCCUGGCUGAUUCUUUGCACCAGCUUUGACUGACAGCUGUCAUGGCAGAUUCGUCGAGGGCAUGGGCAUAGGAUAACAGCUGAAAGCCAGCUGGACCAUUCAGGAAUGCUCAGGUUUAAAAACAUGAACUAUGGGAUGCCUGUGGUAGCAUCGGGCAAGCUGAUGGUUACAGAGGGCAGUGGCCACCGUUCAGGGGACUGCAGCGUCCUGGGAGAGAGACUCGGGAAGACCAGGAGAUGGCGACGCAUGGGAAAGGCUCUGCUGGAGGAAAAUUCGUUUCCAAGACUCACACUAAGAGCCACAGACACCAGAGUGAAAGCCCAAGCCCUGAUUUGCCAAAGCCAGUUGAGACGUAGAAUAUUACCUUCUCCAAAUCAUUGGGAGCGCAGUCUUUCCUCGAAAGCAACCAAGAUUUUCAAGAAAC
rnacentral:lncRNA from 1 species